UACCAGCACCCCGAGUGGUCGGGACGAUUAUUGGGCCUAAAGCAUCCGUAGCCGGUCCUGCAAGUCUUCCGUUAAAUCCACCUGCUUAACAGAUGGGCUGCGGAAGAUACUAUAGGGCUAGGAGGCGGGAGAGGCAAGCGGUACUCAGUGGGUAGGGGUAAAAUCCUCUGAUCCAUUGAAGACCACCAGUGGCGAAGGCGGCUUGCCAGAACGCGCUCGACGGUGAGGGAUGAAAGCUGGGGGAGCAAACCGG
rnacentral:rRNA from 1 species